rnacentral:rRNA from 1 species
GCCAGCAGCCGCGGUAAUACGUAGGUGGCAAGCGUUGUCCGGAAUUACUGGGUGUAAAGGGCGAGUAGGUGGAUCACUAAGUCAGAGGUGAAAACCCAUGGCUAAACUGUGGGAUAGCAACUGAAACUAGAGAUCUUGAGUACUGGAGAGGGAAGCGGAAUUCCUAGUGUAGCGGUGAAAUGCGUAGAUAUUAGGAGGAACACCAGUGGCGAAGGCGGCUUCCUGGACAGAGACUGACACUGAGGCGCGAAAGCGUGGGGAGCGAACAGGAUUAGAUACCCUGGUAGUCCACGCUGUAAACGAUGGAUACUAGGUGUAGGUGGUAAGAAACCAUCUGUGCCGGAGUAAACACAAUAAGUAUCCCACCUGGGGAGUACAGCCGCAAGGUUGAAACUCAAAGGAAUUGACGGGGGCCCGCACAAGCAGUGGAGUAUGUGGUUUAAUUCGAAGCAACGCGAAGAACCUUACCAGGGCUUGACAUCCCUUGAACUAUCUAGAGAUAGGUAGGGCCUACGGGACAAGGAGACAGGUGGUGCAUGGUUGUCGUCAGCUCGUGUCGUGAGAUGUUGGGUUAAGUCCCGCAACGAGCGCAACCCUUAUAGCUAGUUGCCAGCAAUAAGAUGGGGACUCUAGCGAGACAGCCGUUGAGAAAACGGAGGAAGGAAAGGAUGACGUCAAAUCAUCAUGCCCCUUAUGCUCUGGGCUACACACGUACUACAAUGGCUACUACAGAGGGAAGCGAAGCCAGGAGGCGGAGCAAAUCUCAAAAAGGUAGUCCCAGUUCAGAUUGUAGGCUGAAACUCGCCUGCAUGAAGUAGGAAUUGCUAG